rnacentral:tRNA from 1 species
GCCGAUGUGGUGGAAUUGGCAGACGCGCGGGACUCAAAAUCCCGUGGUAGCAAUACCGUGUGGGUUCGACCCCCACCAUCGGCACCA